UCGACGUUAACACGAAGUCUAGAUGGAAAUCAUAUGGACGCGGAACAGCCGACACUGAUACCGGUCCCCCGACUAGGCCGUCAGCCCGGAAAGCGGAGCGCCAGCGUCUUAAUGGCCUAUCUAGAUUCAACACGGUGUCAGUCUUCGAUAACUAGUCGGAGUAUAAAAACGUUUUUCUAAUUUCGCUAACACAGAGACGAGCUAAGUCUCUAAACAUGUGCAUAAAUAACACGAACUGUUUUAAACCACCCGUAAAUGUCUCGUAACUUAAAGAACAAACUAACAAACGAACAAGUUAAAUGGUUAUAUUAAGUUUUAAGCAACUGUCGAGAUUUUUUUAGUUUUUAGAAAACUAAAAAUCAAUCUUUUUUGAAGAGUGGGUUGGUUGUGUUGUUAAAGUUUAUUGCAACUAUCGCAAGUGACAUUCGUUGUUAGCUACAUUAUUUAUACAAUCACCUAUAAAUUGUCUCAUCUACAGUGCAAAGUUGUGCAAUAUCGAACUUUCCAUUUAAAAAUAUGUGAAAAUUUAAAAGUCGUUUGUUUUAUGAAAAUAUUUGAAAACUCUAAAGUGAAGUUAUACAUAUCACCGGCAGAACAUUCGGAAGUUAAUACAGAGAUACUUUUUAAAAAUAGAUAAAUAGUGAAUGGUUGUCGGGAGUUCAAAGAAUCAUUCAUCUUGCACUGAACAUACCACGAACGGAAUAGAUAUUUUAAGAGUUCUGACUGAAAAUUGGAAUAGCCGAAUAUUCAUUUUUAGGAAUAGGCGAAUAUCCACUUCAAGAUCGUAAACGGCGUGAAUGUCAGUCGGAAUAAACAUGCCAGCAUAUUACGAUAUGAUUGUUUCACACAGUCCUCCUGCUAGUUUCCUCUCAGACUUCAGCGCUAAUAAUUACUCCAGAUUUUAUGAUCCACAUCCCCGGUCAUGCCGCCCUCAAGUCCUAACUCCUCCACAGUCCCGUCGGGUUUUGUCAACAUUACAAAAUACUAAAUCAGUGCCAGAGAAAGUACACAUUGCUCCAAAAUCAUGUUUGGUGAAUCGACCUUCCGAUUGUGCUUGUUCAGAGGAUACAGCCAAAAGUCCAACCCGCACAAAAAAGAGGGUCAUCUUUGCUGAUGAUCAAGGACGAUCCCUAACAGAAGUUCGUAUUAUGUCAGAACCUUCAAGUGUCCCGCCACUUUGGAGUCUUAAAUUCCUUGCACAAAUCACACAAGGACUUGUAAGCCCGCAUCCAUCCGAACAGUGGACUAUUGAUUUUCGGCAACCUGCUUCAGAUUACUUGCAAUUCAGGAAACGCAUUGACGAUCUCAACGUAUCCUUGGAAAAUGUUAUUGUACGUGAGAACGAGUCGAUUGUUGUCGGAACGGUCAAAGUGAAAAAUUUGAGUUUCCAUAAAGAAGUUAUAGUGCGGGCAACCUGGGACGACUGGAAAAGUCAACAGGAUAUUUUCUGUACAUAUUCUCAAAUUUAUGGAAGCAGUGCGGCUUAUGUUUUGUAUGACACAUUUAGCUUUAAAAUCACUCUACCUCCAUCGUCUAAGAAAUUGGAAUUCUGUAUUUGUUUCCGAUCAGACGGAAAGGAGUAUUGGGACAACAACAAUGAUAAAAACUACACAAUCUCUAAAAAAUCGCCAUCCUGCCAAUCACAUCCAUCCGAAAUUCUUAUAAACUACGAUAGUAGUGAUAGUUCGGUGAAAACAUCAAACUUGAAAUAUUCAUCGGACCAAUUAACUCAGGGAGAUAAGUCUAAUUUUAAUACUUGGCCAGAUGCAUCGUGGAGUCAAAGUGAGUACCCCCCAUGCCCGUAUUGGUAGAAAAAUGCAAAGUCCCUGUAGAGAGAAAAGCGUGUAGACAAAACCAAAAAAUACAAAGAAAGCAAUGAAAGAAACGAAGCAACCUUGCCGGCAAGAAUAUGGGAACCUAUUAGAAAGAAGCUGCACCAUACCUUUACAAACACAACAGCAAAGUAAUAGCAUAAAAACAACCGUUGAAACAUAUAUCAAUAUGUUGUUACUUAAUCCGAACCUGAACGAGGCCAAAGUGAAGAGCAAAUGUCGCUAGCAACCCGGAUCGCGUUCAGUGUUAGGAGCGAUUACCAGUCCAAAUCAACUUUGCUGCAUAACACACCAGUUUGCUAUCAAAUAUUGGAAGCAUCAAAUUCAGGAGGUCGUGCUGUAGUGCUCCUUGUUCCAGCACAAAACCCUAAACCAUUCAUGACUACUAUGUCCAAGCAACAAUCAGUACUACAGCAAAAAUUCCGAAUUUUCUGAAUAUCUGCAUCUCAUCGAAAAGGUUUCCAUUCACCAACUUUUUCUGUAACCGUAACAUAACAUAGAAGAGAUUAGCCCACAUAAGGGACACUCUGGAAAACUAAGGAGUGCAAAAACAAAAGUGAAAUAGUUGCUCGAAACAAUUUAAAAAUAAAAUGAGCAAAGAUACAAAAACAGAGACUUUAAAAAAUGGAGAAAUAAUAUUCAAAUUUGGAAUCAAAUAUUAUUAAACAUUAUGAGGUAUAUUUAAUCUGAUACGAAACUAAAAGACUGAAAUUGUCCAUAUAUUUUAUAAUCGAUUAUGACUAAUGGGAAGGUGAUUGUCUGCUCAAAAGUGUGAUGUAAAUUUGUAAGGUUUUCCGUCUCAGAGGCAUUCGUUCUAAGUGAAAUUCUCCUAACAAAUGCUGUUCAUGUCAGUAACGCUCCGUGCUAACUGAAUGUUUACAAACUGUGCCAAAAUCAUGUUGAAAUUAAUGUUAAAGCAGCUGUGUUUCUUUAAACUAUUGUUAAGCUUCAUGUUAUCCUUUUUUAUCUAUACACAAGUCUAUGAAAAUCAAAAUGUUGUUGCAUGUUGAACCGAAAGCUCUUUUUAUACUUCUCUCCAUUGUCAGGAAAACCACAAAGUUUACACCUUGAUUGAACAAAAUGUAUGAAUCCGAUAGUAUGUUCUUGUUAGCUUUAAAGUGAGGAUUAUUAAGGAAGAGAAUAAGAUAAAGAAGCUACUGUUGUAAUCGUUAAAAUCGCUUGGGCGUAACUAUAUACAUAGAUUUAUACAAACUUUUGAAAGUCGCAUAAAUAUAAAUUUUACUUGAUAUAGAAGGAUGAAUAAUCAGCGCUUUUAUUGAAUACUAUUGUAUAUUUUUUAUGGCCAAUACUAUUUUGUAACAACCAAUGCAAGAUUAACACCAUUGCAUAAGGAGGAAUUAUAUAUCAACGCAUACAAAAGUAAAUUUAAUUAAAAAAUUAAAGUGUGUGCCAAACGGAAAUAACUUUAUUGAAAUGCUCUUAAAUAUAAACAAAUGACAUUUUAUGUGAAGAGAAACAAUGCAAGUGUAAAUAUUUUUUUAUCUAUUAUUGGUGAGAAGUUUUGUUUCUUUUCCAUUAAGUUUGUUUAUUUCAAAUAUUUCUUAUUUAAUUCUUAUUCCUACCUAAUUAUACUGUUAGUUUUUAUUUAGUUGUAUAAGAAAAGGCGAAUAUGUGCAUUCAUUCAAUGUGGUAACCGCAUAAGAACAAAUUUCAUUGUAAAUAUUUUAUUGUUUAGUUUUAGUUUGCUACCAAUCUAUUGUUUUUUUUCUAUUUUUAAAAAUAAUAACCUAGAAAUGUGAAUCAAUUCAAAUUUUCUCAUGUUUUAGUUACUACUACAUUGUAAAUAUGAUAUGAAUAUAAAAUAUAAUCCGAAAAUAAUGCAAAAUA